UACGAAGGGGGCUAGCGUUGCUCGGAAUCACUGGGCGUAAAGGGUGCGUAGGCGGGGCUUUAAGUCAGGGGGGAAAUCCUGGAGCUCAACUCCAGAACUGCCUUUGAUACUGAGGAUCUUGAGUAUGGGAGAGGUGAGUGGAACUGCGAGUGUAGAGGUGAAAUUCGUAGAUAUUCGCAAGAACACCAGUGGCGAAGGCGGCUCACUGGCCCAUAACUGACGCUGAGGCACGAAAGCGUGGGGAGCAAACAGG
rnacentral:rRNA from 1 species